rnacentral:rRNA from 1 species
AAAAGCUUCUAGCGAGAUAAAAGGUGCCUGUACCGCAAACCGACACAGGUAGGCGAGGAGAGAAUCCUAAGGUGUGCGAGAGAACUCUGGUUAAGGAACUCGGCAAAAUGACCCCGUAACUUCGGGAGAAGGGGUGCUUUCUUAACGGAAAGCCGCAGUGAAUAGGCCCAAGCGACUGUUUAGCAAAAACACAGCUCUCUGCGAAGCCGU